CCUCGGUGAUACAGUUUAUGGUGUCCUACCCGUUCCCAUUCCGAACACGGAAGUAAAAGCCAUAAACGCCAAUGAUAGUCCUUCGGGGCGAAAGUAGGCUUUGCCGGGGA
rnacentral:rRNA from 1 species